rnacentral:rRNA from 1 species
CCUACGAGAGGCAGCAGUGAGGAAUAUUGGUCAAUGGCCGGAAGGCUGAACCAGCCAAGUCGCGUGAGGGACGCAUGCCCUGUGUGUUGUAAACCUCUUUUAUAAGGGUAGAAUAAAUGCUACGUGUAUCAUGAUGCCUGUACCUUAUGAAUAAGCAUCGGCUAACUCCGUGCCAGCAGCCGCGGUACUACGGAGGAUGCGAGCGUUAUCCGGUUUUAUUGGGUUUAAAGGGUGCGUAGGCGGUUUUUUAAGUUAGUGGUUAAACGUCGGGGCUUAACCUUGAUUUGCCAUUAAUACUGUUAGACUAGAGUUCAGACGAGGUAGGCGGAAUAAGUUAAGUAGCGGUGAAAUGCUUAGAUAU